rnacentral:rRNA from 1 species
UAUGGCGACCGGCGCGCGGGUGAGUAACACGUAUCCAACCUGCCUCAUACUCGGGGAUAGCCUUUCGAAAGAAAGAUUAAUACCCGAUGUUAUAGUCCUACCGCAUGAUGGGAUUAUUAAAGAAUUUCGGUAUGGGAUGGGGAUGCGUUCCAUUAGUUAGUUGGCGGGGUAACGGCCCACCAAGACAACGAUGGAUAGGGGUUCUGAGAGGAAGGUCCCCCACACUGGUACUGAGACACGGACCAGACUCCUACGGAAGGCAGCAG